GAUGAACGCUGGCGGCGUGCUUAACACAUGCAAGUCGAACGAAGCAUUUGCGACAGAUUUUUUCGGAAUGAAGUUGCUUAUGACUGAGUGGCGGACGGGUGAGUAACGCGUGGGUAACCUGCCUUGUACUGGGGGAUGGCAGCUGGAAACGGCUGGUAAUACCGCAUAAGCGCACAAUGUUGCAUGACAUGGUGUGAAAAACUCCGGUGGUAUAAGAUGGACCCGCGUCUGAUUAGCUAGUUGGUGAGAUAACAGCCCACCAAGGCGACGAUCAGUAGCCGACCUGAGAGGGUGACCGGCCACAUUGGGACUGAGACACGGCCCAGACUCCUACGGGAGGCAGCAGUGGGGAAUAUUGCACAAUGGAGGAAACUCUGAUGCAGCGACGCCGCGUGAGUGAAGAAGUAAUUCGUUAUGUAAAGCUCUAGCAGCAGGGAAGAUAGUGACGGUACCUGACUAAGAAGCUCCGGCUAAAUACGUG
rnacentral:rRNA from 1 species